UCCUACGGGGCGCAGCAGUGAGGAAUAUUGGUCAAUGGGCGCGAGCCUGAACCAGCCAAGUAGCGUGAAGGAUGACUGCCCUACGAGUUGUAAACUUCUUUUAUAAAGGAAUAAAGUGAGGCACGUGUGCCUUUUUGUAUGUACUUUAUGAAUAAGGAUCGGCUAACUCCGUGCCAGCAGCCGCGGUAAUACGGAGGAUCCGAGCGUUAUCCGGAUUUAUUGGGUUUAAAGGGAGCGUAGGUGGACAGUUAAGUCAGUUGUGAAAGUUUGCGGCUCAACCGUAAAAUUGCAGU
rnacentral:rRNA from 1 species